AUUGAACGCUGGCGGCAUGCCUUACACAUGCAAGUCGAACGGUAACGGGCCUUCGGGUGCCGACGAGUGGCGAACGGGUGAGUAAUGUAUCGGAACGUACCUUUCAGUGGGGGAUAACGUAGCGAAAGUUACGCUAAUACCGCAUAUUCUGUGAGCAGGAAAGCAGGGGAUCGCAAGACCUUGCGCUGAUUGAGCGGCCGAUAUCAGAUUAGCUAGUUGGUGAGGUAAAGGCUCACCAAGGCGACGAUCUGUAGCGGGUCUGAGAGGAUGAUCCGCCACACUGGAACUGAGACACGGUCCAGACUCCUACGGGAGGCAGCAGUGGGGAAUUUUGGACAAUGGGGGCAACCCUGAUCCAGCCAUGCCGCGUGAGUGAAGAAGGCCUUCGGGUUGUAAAGCUCUUUCGGCCGGGAAGAAAUCGUAUCAGCUAAUACCUGGUGCGGAUGACGGUACCGGCAUAAGAAGCACCGGCUAACUACGUGCCAGCAGCCGCCGUAACAC
rnacentral:rRNA from 1 species